rnacentral:lncRNA from 1 species
GCACCUCAGAAACUGGCGUCACUCGCCUGCUCACAAGGAGCCCAUGGCCAAGAGUGCCCAAAGCGCAUGUGCCAGGAGGCCCAAGCCUCUCAAACCUCCGAUCCCCUUGAGCUGGGCUGGCUUCCCCUCAAACAUUGCGGGAUGGCUGAGUGUUGUGGGACAUUUGCAAAAGACUCUGGGGUGUGGAAAAGCAGUCUUCCGGGUCCCUGAGUGGCUCAGUGGUUGAGUGUCCGCUUUCAGCUCAAGUCCUGAUCCUGGAUUUUGGGAUCAAGUCUCACGCAGGACUCCCCACAGGGAGCCUGCCUCUCCCUCUCCCUGAGUUUCUCAUGAAUAAAUGAAUGAAAUCUUAAGAAAAAAAAAGUAGUAUUUAUUACGACUAGGGUCAGAGUGCAUGAAAGCACGUUCCCCCAGAAUACUUCCCUAACAAAUGCUCUCCCUCAGUUUAUUCCUCUUCCACAUCCCUCGGGACCCCUGUCAGUCUCCAUGGAAUGGAGCGGAUGCAGCCAACAGAAAACUGUUCUCAUUGUCAGACGUGGCAAUGUGUAUCAUCAAGCGCAAGCUCACAAGGGGAGAACAAUUCAUAUUCCCUAGAUGAAAUGAAAACGCGUUUCUGCAUGCCUCAUAAUUCGCCCAUUUGGCCCAGCCUUACAUUUUCUUUAUUUUUAUCUUUUGCGGUUAUUCCCCAAUUUAAUCUUUAAUCAAUCCAAGAUUUAGUUUGCAGUGUGGUGCAACAUUUAAGAAUUUUUUUUUUUCUGAGAGCAAGAGGGAGACAGAGACAGAUGGAAGAAUAUGAGCUGAAAUCAACAAACACAAAAAAAAUAAAAAUAAACAGAGGCUAAUGCAACUAAGCCACACAGGCGUCCCAACAUUUAAGAACUGUUUAAAAAAAUAGUUAUUUCCUUCUUCUAAAUAAUCCAUCUUUUCUCACCUAGCUUAAAAUGCCACUUUAUCAUAAAUUCUGAUAUGUUUUUGUUUUCUGUAAAUUUUUUUGUUUUGUGUAAAUAAAUCACUUUUUGAUCAAAUAGGAACUUCUCAACAGCAGCGAGAUUUUAUAUUGUAAAAUACAUUUGUUUUGUGUUUUAAGACAAAGCCUAUUUAUAGGCAAAUUUUGCUUUCCUCUGUUGUUUGACACUAAAUAAUAAACUGGGUGAGAAAAUAUUUUGAAAAUAAAGUUUCAGAACACAUUCUGUGUUCUCAUAAUUAUUUGCCAUAAACACAUAAAAGAAAGCGGCAUUCUCUAAUGCUUCUUUAGAGGUAUCAUUAUUUAGGGGCAACUGAGUGGCUCAUCAGUCCGUUGAGCAUCUGACUCUUGGUCUCAUAUAAAGUGAUGAUCACAGUCAUAAGACCCAGCCCUGAGACAGGCUCAGCGCAAAGUUUACUUCAGAUCCUCACCCUCUUUCUUUCCCUCUGCCCCCACACCACCCCCUGCUUGCACAUGCUCACUCACUUCUUCUAAAAUAAAUAAAAUCUCAUGGCUGAGUAAUAUUCCAUUGUGUACAUAUACCACAAAUUACUCAGCAAUUAGAAACAAACAAACAAACAAACUAACAAACAAAAAAAACCCCACCAUCUGCUUCAACAUGGAUGGAACUGGAGGGUAUUAUGCUGAGUGAAGUAAGUCAAUAGGAGGACGACAAACAUUAUAUGGUCUCAUUCAUUUGGGGAAUAUAAAAAAGUGAAAGGGAAUAAAGGGGAAAACAGAAAACGAGUGGGAAAUAUCAGUGAGGGUGACAAAACAUGACAGACUCCUAACUCUGGGAACCAAACAAGGGGUGGUGGGAAGGGAGGUGGGGCGACUGAGUGACAGGCACCAAUAAGGGGCACUUGACGGGAUGAGCACUGGGUGCUGUGCUAUAUGUUGCAAACUGAACUCCAACCAAAAAAAUUUUUAAAAAGGAAACCCAAAAACAUAAAAUAAAUAAAAAACCCCUGAGUGUGAGCUGAAAAAAAAAAAAAAAAUAAUCUAAAAAAAAAAAAAAAAAAAAAAA